rnacentral:misc_RNA from 1 species
GGUCUAUCAAUUCUAUAAUAGAUGAACGUACCAUCUCUGCUCACAAGGAAAGCAAAUGAGAAAAUUUAACAUAAUAUACAGAAAUUAGGAAGCAUAUGCUUUCUAAUAUUAAAAUUUAAGUAGGAUCAACCUCCAGAAGGAUCAGAGACAAGCUAUGAAAUGUAUCAUCAAAUUUCUAUCUUGUGGAAAUCAUUCAUAUUACCAAAGCAAAGUUGUAUUAUCUCAACUGGGGUUUCAGGAUAUCAUCUUGGAGACUGAUUGGUUGCGGAG